rnacentral:rRNA from 1 species
GACGAACGCUGGCGGCGUGCUUAACACAUGCAAGUCGAACGGAAAGGCCCUGCUUUUGUGGGGUGCUCGAGUGGCGAACGGGUGAGUAACACGUGAGUAACCUGCCCUUGACUUUGGGAUAACUUCAGGAAACUGGGGCUAAUACCGGAUAGGAGCUCCUGCUGCAUGGUGGGGGUUGGAAAGUUUCGGCGGUUGGGGAUGGACUCGCGGCUUAUCAGCUUGUUGGUGGGGUAGUGGCUUACCAAGGCUUUGACGGGUAGCCGGCCCGAGAGGGUGACCGGCCACAUUGGGACUGAGAUACGGCCCAGACUCCUACGGGGGGCAGCAGUGGGGAAUAUUGCACAAUGGGCGGAAGCCUGAUGCAGCAACGCCGCGUGCGGGAUGACGGCCUUCGGGUUGUAAACCGCUUUCGCCUGUGACGAAGCGUGAGUGACGGUAAUGGGUAAAGAAGCACCGGCUAACUACGUG